AAUAUCUAUUUCGGAUUCCAGUUUGCACAAUUGGCAGAAUUGUAAAGGAAGUAACUGUGGCAAUUUAUGAAAUGCUGAAGGAGUCUUACUUAAAGUUUCCAAACACAAAAAAUGAGUGGUUGUGCAUAGCUAAUUCAUUCAACUCCCGAUGGAAUUUUCCACACUGUGUAGGAGCAGUUGAUGGAAAACAGGUUUCUAUACAAAAUCCGCAUAACUCUGGCAGUCAUUAUUUUAACUACAAGGGAACUUAUAGUAUUAUUCUAUUGGCCGUUGCUGAUGCAAGUUAUAAACUAAUAUACUUUGACGUUGGAUGUAAUGGAAGAAUUUCGGAUGGUGGGGUAUUCCAAAAUAGUUCUUUGCAUCAAGGACUUGAAGAUGGAAGUAUUGAAUUACCCGAGCCUACACCUCUCCCUGGUAGAACUGAUCCUGUUCCAUACUGUUUUGUUGGCGACGAUGCUUUUGCUAUGAAACCGUACAUGUUGAAGCCGUAUCCUUAUCAGAAUCAACCAGCUCCUAAUCGUAUUUUUAAUUACAGACUGUCGAGAGCUCGACGAAUAAUUGAAAAUGUAUUUGGUAUAAUGGCCAAUAAAUUUCGAGUUUUGCGAAAACCUAUUGCGCUUGCCCCAGAGACAGUUUCAACAACCGUGCAAGCAAUCUGCGCACUCCAUAAUUACUUAUUGUCAGACAAAACUUUGAAAGGCAACUAUAUACAUCAAGAUUUGAUUGAUACAGAAAAUACUGAAACGCAUACU